CCGGCGACCGGCGCACCGGGUGAGUAACACGUAUGAAACCUGCCCGUAGCAGGGGGAUAAGCGGAAGAAAUUCCGUCUAAUACCGCGUAACAACCCGAGGAGGCAUCUCCUCGGGGUUUAAAGGAAGCGAUUCCGGCUACGGAUGGUCAUGCGUCGCAUUAGCUAGUUGGCGGGGUAACGGCCCACCAAGGCGACGAUGCGUAGGGGUUCUGAGAGGAAGGUACCCCCACACUGGUACUGAGACACGGACCAGACUCCUACGGGAGGCAGCAG
rnacentral:rRNA from 1 species